GAUAAAGACACAGCCUUCGCACCAAAACACAGCCUUCACUUCUAUUUUUCUCUAUGGCCUUCAUACCAAUUCAAGUUUGUUUACUGUUUUCCUAUCAGAUCGAAAAUUGAGCUCGAUAAUCUCUUGGUUUUCCGGUGAGUGGCCAGGUUGUCAAAGAAACAAAAAGCUCAAAUUCCAGGUAGGAGCAUGGAGCUUGAUGACUGGAAAUGGAAAGAUAUGGAAAUUCGAUCUUCAGGUUAGGAUGUUUCCCACACAUCAAGUAGUAUUUCAAAGAGUACAUUAUUCUGGAUUCCAUUUAGAAGAGUCACAUACUUCAGAGAUUGAUCAACCAACUUCUAUAGAUGGAAGUGUUAAGCAACCUUUUGUUAUAGUGACUUUGUAUCUCAUCUUAGAGGAGUUAGUUCAGCAUUUACCGGAAGCAUAUGUCAUGGCUUUGUUUCUCCCAAUUUGUUGUCUGACGUUUGGUCAAAAUACAAUUUGUCGCUUUGGUAUGAGGAGAUCUCUAGGAAUUAUGACCAAAUAUGGGAACAGUUCAUGUAACAUGGCCAUGGUUGUGAAGCUUAAUCUUUGAACUGACAAAACUUUGAUUCUAUUCAAGGCGAUAAAUGCCAAUUCUUUGCAUCUAUCAUGAUUGGUAUCUGCUUGAAUCAUUCCAUCUUCCAUAGUGUUUUUGAAAAAUAGCUAGAUGCUUGACAUGAGGAUUAAGUAUAUACAGUACCUCAGGAUGAUAAAUGAUGGGAUGCAAGCAGGUCUACGACCCCCAAACUGGGUUAUGAUAUAUCAUAUUUUAGACCUGUAAUAGAUGAUGCUCUUCGCGACCAGGAUCCUCAGGAGGAAUGGAUAACUCAUGCUUGUGGCAUCCAUAACAAGCUUGAUUUUGUGAGUAAUAAAAUGCUCAUCCUAUAUCGAAGCUUCAAUUUUGUGGUAGGCACUUGUUUUUCUAUAUGGUUUGCAAGAAGUAAUACAUCAUAUAGUUGACUUGGUGGAUCCAUUUGAAGGAAUUUCCUGGCUGCUUUCCAAGAAUUUUGGGCCAUGAAGCUUUCGGGAUUGUGGAGAGUGUUGGAGAAGGUGUUGAGGAGUUGAAGGAAGGAGAUUAAGUCGUACCAAUAUUUUUGCCUGACUGUAUGGACAGUGUAGACUGUAAAUCCAAGAAAAGCAACCUUUGUUCCAAAUUUCCAUUUCAAAUCACUCCAUUGAUGCAUAGAGAUGACACAAGCAGAUUCACUACUGUUGAAGGAGAAACUUUACACCAUUUCCUGUAUGUAUCGAGUUUUUUCGACUACACAGUCGUUGAUGUUGUUAAUGUCAGAAAGAUUGAUCCUGAAAUCCCACCUCAUAAGGCAUGCCUUUUCAGCUGUGGAGUAUCAACAGGAUUGUAGCUGAUUCAAAUGCACAUGACCCUGGAGGUGAUUACACAUGAUGGUUAUUCAAGUUCCUCUCCUUUCCACCCUCCCCCGGCACCUGUCUGGGCAACCAAAUGCAUAAGAUUUCUUCUAAAUGCAAAAUUUUCUUUUGCAUGUUAAGACUACAUUAUGACGAAAAUUUGAUAGUGUUAGGAAUUGAUUGUUCUCGUAGUAUGGGGCUAAUUUCAGAACUAUAUAUAGUCAAGUUUUUAGGAGAAAAAAAGAAAAGAAAAUUGAAAGGAGGUUUAUGAUUUCUUUUAUUCAUAGUUAGUUAUUUUAUUCCCUUUAUUUCUACCCCCAAUCCACCCUCAAAUGAAAAAAAAGGUAUGGAAGUUUAUGUCUCAGGUAUAUCUAACAAGCUCUUCCAUCAUACAAUUCGUAUGGAGGCGGUUGCGCUAGUCCAGGUGAUUGCAUGCUUGUCUCUGCCAUGUCAUUUGUGUUAGAACAAAAAACUAAGGAUUUUGACAUAUUUUUCAUCAUGCCUUCUCUUUGUGUUUCUUUUUAUGUUGUCUUACUUCUGUUUUUUAUCUGGAUUUACUAUUGACAUAUUCAUUUACGGCUAGAGCAUUAACGUUAUUGUUAAGUUGGUUUUAUCUGACUUUCUUUAGUAUAAUAGCGUUGUGUUCUUCUGAUCAUUUGGAGACUGUUACUGUUGAUAUUGUUGAGACAGAGUUAUGCUUUAUAUAGCUGGUGAAAAUGAUGUUUUUUGAAAUUCUAAUAUCACUAUUUAGUCCAGAGCAUCAAAUUUAAUGUGGUUAUAUAGUUUAUUUACGUAUAUUGGAUUUCGAACAAAUCUCGGACACCCCGUCAAAGUCCAUUUUAGACUUAGAAAAUUCGGUGCACCAGGUUGCUAGUGCAACCUGGAUCAUAAAGGGUAAAACGUAUUUGAGGCAUGCGUUUUUUGCCUUAUGCACCUGGUAAUCUGGUAUGAGUACAAAUAGCCCUUUUUAACCAUUUUUGCUCAUUUUUCAUCUUGCCUCUUGAGAGAUAGACCAUAAAAUAGUGUGAGAGCUUAAAAGUGAAGCUUGUGGGUGUUCGGAAAGCUAUAUAUCUAUUUCUUGAUUUUCUUACGGAUUCACCCUUUAUUUUUAUCAAAUUUCUUGAUUAAUUAUUCAGAACUUUCAAAAUCUUAGUACUUGAUUUAGCCUCAAAUUCCAAACUUUUUCACUUGAAUAGUGUUCUUAAUCCUAUAAUUGCUCUUAUCUUCAAAACAACUUUAAUUCUUGAUUUCAAAAUGAAUUUCAAAGAUUUUAUUCGAUAAAGCUCAAAAAUGAGUUUUUUUCAAUUUGAAUCUCAUUUUUUACUCCAUUUGGAUUUUCAUCUGUAGAUUCCUAAGGUAUGAAGAACACGUUUUUAAAGUAAAGUUAUAAUUUUCCCCUUCUUUUUUGAAAACCUAUUUCAGGGGUUCAUUUUGAUCUUGAACCAAAAGUGGGCAAUAUGGGUAUCGUUAGCCUUAUUUUGAUGCAUAGAUUUUAUAUUUCUUGAUUUUAGUUCAUUUCGGAAUCAUUCGUAAGAAGUAGGGGUUUAUGGUUGAAGUAUUACGGACUAGUUUCGGCCUUCAAGGUAGGUUAGGACUUUAAUUCUUUCAGACUGGGUUGGGUAGUAAAUAUUGGUACAACAUACAUAUUAAGGGUGGGAACUAAUUAUUACAAAUUAUCUAUUUAUGUGUUGUGCCCAUGUAGGGGUCUAUGUGUGAUAUAAUUAUUGAAAUUGAAAUAUUGUAUGAUAUGUGUGAUUGUGUGAGGUCCUAUAUGAUUUUGAUAGCUUAAAAUACAUUUGAAUAAUUUUAUUAUGUUGUUGAAAAUGCCUUUUGUGGUACCGUUAGCGUAUUGUGAUAUAUUCAUACUUGUUGGCAUAUGAAACAUGUGAAAAUUCAUGGAUGAACAAAAAUAUGAGUGGAUAUUGGCUCACGUGGUUGUGGAAAUAUAUCAUUGUUGUUAGUUAUGAAAAUACUCAUUGUGAUUGGUUGUGAGCAUUACAUCCUCAUAUCAUAUUCAUUCAUGAAACAAAUCGUACCACCCUGGCAACACCUGAGAAAUAAUAGCAACACCUUUUAUAAAACCCUCCCCGAGGGAUAUGCCGAGGAGAAGAUAUUGCAACACCUUAUAAAACCCUUCCCGAGGGAUGUGUUGGAAAGGAGAUAUGGAUAUGGAUUAUGAAUUGUAUAUGGGUUGACGAACCCCUCAUGGAUCCCACGUUGGGAGGCUUACCUCCGUGGAUGUAUACGGGGAUUGUGCGACGAUCUCGUGCAUUAUCAUCAUCAUAUACAUUACACUUUCUUUAUUGUGUUUAUGUUAUGCUUGUAUUGCCAUAUUGACUUGUCAUCUAUCUAUUUGUUUAAAUCUUGACUUGUUAAUGUCUAAUUGUUCUAUCUUCCUUUAUUUGUACUUGAUGAUCUUGAUUAUACAUGUUUCCCCUUUGUUCUAAUUGUAUGUGAUAUUGUGUAUAGUUGUGUCCCUAUCUGGUGUGUUGAUUAUAUGUGGAUAUUAUAGAACUGUUAGUAUAAUCAGUGUGGGUUAUUGUUGUGGGACAUUUUUUGAUUGCAGGUAACGUGCCCUUAGUAAGUAUUGUAUAUGCUUUAUUUUCUACUUUGCUCGGUCGACCUAUAAUUCUUACUGAGUACAAGUGGACCAUACUCACGCCUACUGCGCCCUUUCGGUGCAGUUCCUAGUUCGAGUGCGCACCAACUUGGUUGAUUCGAGUGAUAUUUGGUGCUUUCAAGGUAUUGGUUAACUUUUAGGCGUCCGGAUGCACUCUACUACCUUUCUUAUAGACUAUGUCUUUACUUUCAUUUUCGAGUCAGAGUUUCUCUUGUAUUUGGAUAUUUUAUAUAUUUCUCUUGUAUUCAAGUUGUACUAGAUACGUUCUUAUAAUAUUGAAAUCAGGUUUUGAGAAUUGUGGUUGUACUGUUGAUUUUGUACUU